UACAGAGGUGGCAAGCGUUGUUCGGAAUUACUGGGCGUAAAGGGCGAGUAGGUGGCCAUCUAAGUCAGACGUGAAAUCCCCCGGCUUAACCUGGGAACUGCGUCUGAUACUGGGAAGCUUGAGUUCGGGAGAGGGAUGUAGAAUUCCAGGUGUAGCGGUGAAAUGCGUAGAUAUCUGGAGGAAUACCGGUGGCGAAGGCGGCAUCCUGGACCGAAACUGACGCUGAGGCGCGAAAGCUAGGGGAGCAAACGGG
rnacentral:rRNA from 1 species